rnacentral:rRNA from 1 species
AGAGUUUGAUCCUGGCUCAGGACGAACGCUGGCGGCGUGCCUAACACAUGCAAGUCGAACGGGGUAAAUUUCUUCGGAGGUUUACUUAGUGGCGAACGGGUGAGUAACGCGUGAGGAACCUGCCUUUCAGUGGGGGACAACAGUUGGAAACGACUGCUAAUACCGCAUAAAGUGUUAAGGGGGCAUCCCCUUAACACCAAAGAUUUAUUGCUGAAAGAUGGUCUCGCGUCUGAUUAGCUAGAUGGCGGGGUAACGGCCCACCAUGGCGACGAUCAGUAGCCGGUCUGAGAGGAUGAACGGCCACAUUGGGACUGAGAUACGGCCCAGACUCCUACGGGAGGCAGCAGUGGGGAAUAUUGGGCAAUGGGGGAAACCCUGACCCAGCAACGCCGCGUGAAGGAAGAAGGCCUUCGGGUUGUAAACUUCUUUUACCAGGGACGAAGGACGUGACGGUACCUGGAGAAAAAGCAACGGCUAACUACGUGCCAGCAGCCGCGGUAAUACGUAGGUUGCAAGCGUUGUCCGGAUUUACUGGGUGUAAAGGGCGUGUAGGCGGAGCUGCAAGUCAGAUGUGAAAUCCCGGGGCUCAACCCCGGAACUGCAUUUGAAACUGUAGCCCUUGAGUAUCGGAGAGGCAAGCGGAAUUCCUAGUGUAGCGGUGAAAUGCGUAGAUAUUAGGAGGAACACCAGUGGCGAAGGCGGCUUGCUGGACGACAACUGACGCUGAGGCGCGAAAGCGUGGGGAGCAAACAGGAUUAGAUACCCUGGUAGUCCACGCUGUAAACGAUGAAUACUAGGUGUGGGGAGGACUGAACCCCU